rnacentral:rRNA from 1 species
UACGAAGGGGACUAGCGUUGUUCGGAAUCACUGGGCGUAAAGCGCACGUAGGCGGAUUCGUAAGUCAGGGGUGAAAUCCCGGGGCUCAACCUCGGAACUGCAUCUGAUACUGGAUGGCUUGAGUUCGGGAGAGGGAUGCGGAAUUCCAGGUGUAGCGGUGAAAUGCGUAGAUAUCUGGAGGAACACCGGUGGCGAAGGCGGCAUCCUGGACCGACACUGACGCUGAGGAGCGAAAGCCAGGGGAGCAAACGGG